rnacentral:tRNA from 1 species
CGGGGUGUAGCUCAGCUUGGUAGAGCGCGUCGUUCGGGACGACGAGGUCGUUGGUUCGAAUCCAGUCACCCCGACCA